GCAUAUCAAUAAGCGGAGGAAAAGAAACCAACAGGGAUUGCCCCAGUAACGGCGAGUGAAGCGGCAACAGCUCAAAUUUGAAAUCUGGCUUCGGCCCGAGUUGUAAUUUGCAGAGGAAGCUUUAGGCGCGGCACCAUCUGAGUCCCCUGGAACGGGGCGCCAUAGAGGGUGAGAGCCCCGUAUAGAUGGACGCUAAGCCUGUGUAAAGCUCCUUCGACGAGUCGAGUAGUUUGGGAAUGCUGCUCAAAAUGGGAGGUAAAUUUCUUCUAAAGCUAAAUAUUGGCCAGAGACCGAUAGCGCACAAGUAGAGUGAUCGAAAGAUGAAAAGCACUUUGAAAAGAGGGUUAAAUAGCACGUGAAAUUGUUGAAAGGGAAGCGCUUGUGACCAGACUUGCGCCUGGCUGAUCAUCCGGUGUUCUCACCGGUGCACUCUGCCAGGCUCAGGCCAGCAUCGGUUCUCGCGGGGGGAUAAAGGCCCUGGGAACGUAGCUCCUCCGGGAGUGUUAUAGCCCAGGGUGCAAUGCCCUCGCGGGGACCGAGGUUCGCGCAUCUGCAAGGAUGCUGGCGUAAUGGUCAUCAGCGACCCGUCUUGAAACACGGACCAAGGAGUCAAGGUUUUGCGCGAGUGUUUGGGUGUCAAACCCGCACGCGUAAUGAAAGUGAACGUAGGUGAGAGCUUCGGCGCAUCAUCGACCGAUCCUGAUGUUUUCGGAUGGAUUUGAGUAGGAGCGUUAAGCCUUGGACCCGAAAGAUGGUGAACUAUGCUUGGAUAGGGUGAAGCCAGAGGAAACUCUGGUGGAGGCUCGCAGCGGUUCUGACGUGCAAAUCGAUCGUCAAAUCUGAGCAUGGGGGCGAAAGACUAAUCGAACCAUCUAGUAGCUGGUUACCGCCGAAGU
rnacentral:rRNA from 1 species